rnacentral:lncRNA from 13 species
AUGUUCGCCGUCUCCCAGGAGGUGCCACUCACGCAUCUUCCUCAACAAGGCACACACACGGCGGUUUUGGAUUGGAUGGCCAAAACCUGUCAGAGAUCUGGAAGAGAAGUGACUUGCCUGGAGUCACAGGACGAGAAAAUGAGGCUGAGUCAUACACAUGACUUAAUCUGCCAUUUUAAAAGGAUGGAAAAGGUUCUGUUGCUGAACCACUGCAUCUCCAACUCUGAGGGAGGUACUGGAAUGAGACACACCACUGUGAUACGCAUCUCCUCUUACUUGAGAUCUCGUACCAGUUUAGAACCAAGAACCAAGUCAAACCAUUACCAUAAAAUAUUAAGUAUCCAGCCUCAGCUAUCACAGUGCUGAUGCAGCAAAAGCAAAUUGGAGAGAAGAAGCUGAAGAGAGCAACAACCAUCUUUCCUCCCAGGCAUUUGUAAGAAAUGAGUGAGUGGUCUUGAAGAAUAUUUUCUGAAGUAAAAGCAUCUGCAGAUCAGUUCAGGAUUCUGAAUUGUCUGGGUGAUUUUUCCAGGUAUCACUUCAGGAGGAAUUCAAGUCUAUUUGAAAGGAUAGAGGACCUGCUUCCAAAGAAAGGAGUAAGCUCCUCUCACCUAUUCUUCUCAGGAAAACAAAAGGGUUUAAGUGCUGACGGGGAGGGACCUUAUUGGUUUAGGGGCAGAAUCUGUGAGAAAAACUGACAAAAAAGCAACACUAAAAUGUGCAAAGCAAACCCACUUCCACACUGCCUUUACAUGAGCAAC